ACAAUGGAGAGUUUGAUCCUGGCUCAGGACGAACGCUGGCGGCGUGCUUAACACAUGCAAGUCAAGGAGAACGUAUUCUUCGGAAUACUAUUAAACUGGCGAACGGGUGAGUAACGCGUAGGCAACCUGCCCUAGAGACGGGGAUAACUUCGGGAAACCGGGGCUAAUACCGGAUAAUGCAGCGGAUCCUUCGGGAUACAGUUGUUAAAGCGGGCUUCGGCUCGCACUUUAGGAUGGGCCUGCGUCCGAUUAGCUUGUUGGUAAGGUAAUGGCUUACCAAGGCGAUGAUCGGUAGCUGGUCUGAGAGGAUGAUCAGCCACACUGGGAUUGAGAUACGGCCCAGACUCCUACGGGAGGCAGCAGUGGGGAAUUUUGCGCAAUGGGGGAAACCCUGACGCAGCAAC
rnacentral:rRNA from 1 species